rnacentral:rRNA from 1 species
GACAGAGGGUGCAAACGUUGUUCGGAUUUACUGGGCGUAAAGCGCGUGUAGGCGGCUUGGCAAGUCGGAUGUGAAAGCCCACGGCUCAACCGUGGAAGCGCAUCCGAAACUGCUUCGCUUGAGUCUCGGAGAGGAAGGUGGAAUGCUUGGUGUAGAGGUGAAAUUCGUAGAUAUCAAGCAGAACACCUGCGGCGAAGGCGGCGAUCUGGGUCGAUACUGACGCUGAGGUGCGAAAGCGUGGGGAGCAAACAGG